AUUCAACUGACGAGUCCGAGAUAGGACGAAACGCGCGUUUUGGAU
rnacentral:hammerhead_ribozyme from 1 species